CCAUCAUUUAAAGAAAGCGUAAUAGCUCACUGGUCGAGUCGGCCUGCGCGGAAGAUGUAACGGGGCUAAACCAUGCACCGAAGCUGCGGCAGCGACGCUUAUGCGUUGUUGGGUAGGGGAGCGUUCUGUAAGCCUGCGAAGGUGUGCUGUGAGGCAUGCUGGAGGUAUCAGAAGUGCGAAUGCUGACAUAAGUAACGAUAAAGCGGGUGAAAAGCCCGCUCGCCGGAAGACCAAGGGUUCCUGUCCAACGUUAAUCGGGGCAGGGUGAGUCGACCCCUAAGGCGAGGCCGAAAGGCGUAGUCGAUGGGAAACAGGUCAAUAUUCCUGUACUUGGUGUUACUGCGAAGGGGGGACGGAGAAGGCUAUGUUGGCCGGGCGACGGUUGUCCCGGUUUAAGCGUGUAGGCUGGUUUUCCAGGCAAAUCCGGAAAAUCAAGGCUGAGGCGUGAUGACGAGGCACUACGGUGCUGAAGCAACAAAUGCCCUGCUUCCAGGAAAAGCCUCUAAGCAUCAGGUAACAUCAAAUCGUACCC
rnacentral:rRNA from 1 species